rnacentral:rRNA from 1 species
UGUGAGCGUAUACCAAAGUUGUUGCAGUUAAAACGCUCGUAGUCGGACUUUGGCAGUUCCGGAUGUGUGCACGUCGUGUGCGCACUUCGCGGGGAUUGCUUUUGUGGUCUUGCGUAGGAUGAGGCACUUUUAUUAGUGAACGUCCUCACGCAACCACUUUUUACUGUGAGAAAAUCAGAGUGCUCAAAGCAGGCAUUUGCCGUGAAUGUAUUAGCAUGGAAUAAUAGAAUAGGACUUGGUUCUAUUUUGUUGGUUUGUUGGGACUGAGUAAUGAUUAAGAGGGACAGUUGGGGGCAUUUGUAUUUCGGUGCUAGAGGUGAAAUUCUUAGAUUACCGAAAGACAAACUGCUGCGAAAGCGUCUGCCAAGGAUGUUUUCAUUGA